GUGAGGAAUAUUGGACAAUGGGCGCAAGCCUGAUCCAGCCAUGCCGCGUGCAGGAAGACGCAUCUAAGGUGUGUAAACUGCUUUUGUACGGGAAGAAACACUCCCUCGUGAGGGAGCUUGACGGUACCGUAAGAAUAAGGAUCGGCUAACUCCGUGCCAGCAGCCGCGGUAAUACGGAGGAUCCAAGCGUUAUCCGGAAUCAUUGGGUUUAAAGGGUCCGUAGGCGGUUUAAUAAGUCAGUGGUGAAAGCCCAUCGCUCAACGAUGGAACGGCCAUUGAUACUGUUAGACUUGAAUUACAAGGAAGUAACUAGAAUAUGUAGUGUAGCGGUGAAAUGCUUAGAUAUUACAUGGAAUACCAAUUGCGAAGGCAGGUUACUACUUGUGGAUUGACGCUGAUGGACGAAAGCGUGGGGAGCGAACAGGAUUAGAUACCCGUGUAGUCC
rnacentral:rRNA from 1 species